rnacentral:rRNA from 1 species
GAUGAACGCUGGCGGCGUGCCUAAUACAUGCAAGUCGAGCGAACGGACGAGAAGCUUGCUUCUCUGAUGUUAGCGGCGGACGGGUGAGUAACACGUGGAUAACCUCCCUAUAAGACUGGGAUAACUUCGGGAAACCGUAGCUAAUACCGGAUAAUAUUUUGAACCGCAUGGUUCAAAAGUGAAAGACGGUCUUGCUGUCACUUAUAGAUGGAUCCGCGCUGCAUUAGCUAGUUGGUAAGGUAACGGCUUACCAAGGCAACGAUGCAUAGCCGACCUGAGAGGGUGAUCGGCCACACUGGAACUGAGACACGGUCCAGACUCCUACGGGAGGCAGCAGUAGGGAAUCUUACGCAAUGGGCGAAAGCCUGACGGAGCAACGCCGCGUGAGUGAUGAAGGUCUUCGGAUCGUAAAACUCUGUUAUUAGGGAAGAACAUAUGUGUAAGUAACUGUGCACAUCUUGACGGUACCUAAUCAGAAAGCCACGGCUAACUACGUG